CUCACGUCGCGCAUGCCCCUCCUCCUUGGCCUGUUCUCAUCUCCCUCCUCUCUCUGUCUCUUCCUCUCUAUCUUCCUCUUUGUGCUCUCGCUCAUUUUUCUCCUGGAUGCAGCAGGGAGUCGGCCGGUGGUGGCAUGGCUCAGGAUCCCUCCGUGUUUGGCGGCGCAGAGCAGCGGGGUGAGCCGCAGCAGUUUGCCGCGCGUGCGCAACUCGUUCUUCUGCGGGGGGCUACGCCUGUCCCCCACGCCCAAGCUGCUGCUCUCCAGCGUGAAGGAUAGGUGAGCUGGUUAUGCUGUUAAAUCCCCUCCUCUUUAUAGAUCCCCAUGAUUUGUACUCCGCUAUUUCGAUUUGAGAUUAAGAUUUUUAUCUGUGCUGCUGCUUCCGGGGUUGUGCGGGAUUGGAUACAACAUGGUCGUUUUUGUGGUGGAGAGGGAGUCCUGGAGGUCAUCGUCAACCAGAGAUUGCUAAUGCUUGGAGGCUAAAUUGAUUUUCCGCUCAAGCAGCUAGAGGUCUUCCUAGGAAACUGCAUUGGCAGAUGCAGAAGACUCCUGCAGGAUGAAAAAAUGGAUUUACUAGAAGGCAAACACGAUAGCGGCCAAGUUGCUUCUAUGUGUUGGUGAUAUUAGUCAUGGCCUUGAUGCUUGGAGGAUAUAUAACGAUCUAUGCGGGUAGCAGCAGGAUGUCUGCGAGCCAGGCUUUGGAUGUCCAGGAGUUUCUUACACCCCAGCAUUAGUGUUCGUGGAGUCCAUCGUUGUUGCAGGAUUCUUGAGGGGAACAGUUCAUCACGGGGCGCUAUUUCCAGGGGCGAAUUGCGGUGCUGGUGUUGCUUCACAGGUUUGGUGAGAAACUUCAUGUCUUACUCUUAUCAUUGUUGUGCAUUGCCCAUGUUAAACUUUUGCUCGUUUACGCUGAGGGGUUGCUGUUGGAACCGCAUCGGCUCUGUUUUCUGCUUAUUGUGUGUGCUUUGUUGACCACAUAGUGGCUGCUUCAUUUCUUCUUCUGUUCCUUGACAUGUGCGGUGAUCGGGUUGCUUUGUGUGUUGUCCAAUCUGUUCUAGCUAUCAAGUUUGAUUACUGGUGAUAUGUAAUACCCAAUUGGUCUAUAGCCAAAUCACUUGGGUGGGCACAUGAUAU